rnacentral:rRNA from 1 species
GAUGAACGCUAGCGGCAGGCCUAAUACAUGCAAGUCGAACGGUGUCUUCGGACAUAGUGGCGCACGGGUGCGUAACACGUAUGCAACCUACCUUACAUUGGGGGAUAGCCUUUCGAAAGGGAGAUUAAUACCGCAUAAGACAGUAGCUGGGCAUCCAGCAGCUGUUAAAGAUUUAUCGAUGUAAGCUGGGCAUGCGUCCAAUUAGCUAGUUGGUGAGGUAACGGCUCACCAAGGCAAUGAUUGGUAGGGGAACUGAGAGGUCAAUCCCCCGCACUGGCACUGAGAUACGGGCCAGACUCCUACGGGAGGCAGCAGUAGGGAAUAUUGGGCAAUGGACGCAAGUCUGACCCAGCCAUGCCGCGUGCAGGAUGAAGGCGUUAUGCGUUGUAAACUGCUUUUAUACAGGAAGAAACGACUCUUGCGAGAGGCAUUGACGGUACUGUAUGAAUAAGCACCGGCUAACUCCGUG